UACGUAGGGGGCAAGCGUUGUCCGGAAUUAUUGGGCGUAAAGCGCGCGCAGGCGGCCUUGUAAGUCUGUCGUUUAAACUCGGAGCUCAACUUCGAGUCGCGAUGGAAACUGCAAAGCUUGAGUGCAGAAGAGGAAAGUGGAAUUCCACGAUGUAGCGGUGAAAUGCGUAGAGAUGUGGAGGAACACCAGUGGCGAAGGCGACUUUCUGGGCUGUAACUGACGCUGAGGCGCGAAGGCCAGGGGAGCAAACGGG
rnacentral:rRNA from 1 species